rnacentral:rRNA from 1 species
GACGAACGCUGGCGGCGUGCCUAAUACAUGCAAGUAGAACGCACAGUUUAUACCGUAGCUUGCUACACCAUAGACUGUGAGUUGCGAACGGGUGAGUAACGCGUAGGUAACCUGCCUGGUAGCGGGGGAUAACUAUUGGAAACGAUAGCUAAUACCGCAUAAUAUUAAUUAUUGCAUGAUAAUUAAUUGAAAGGUGCAAUUGCACCACUACCAGAUGGACCUGCGUUGUAUUAGCUAGUAGGUGAGGUAACGGCUCACCUAGGCGACGAUACAUAGCCGACCUGAGAGGGUGAUCGGCCACACUGGGACUGAGACACGGCCCAGACUCCUACGGGAGGCAGCAGUAGGGAAUCUUCGGCAAUGGACGAAAGUCUGACCGAGCAACGCCGCGUGAGCGAAGAAGGUUUUCGGAUCGUAAAGCUCUGUUGUAAGAGAAGAACGGGUGUGAGAGUGGAAAGUUCACACUGUGACGGUAUCUUACCAGAAAGGGACGGCUAACUACGUG